rnacentral:rRNA from 1 species
UACGGAGGGUGCGAACGUUAAUCGGAAUUACUGGGCGUAAAGCGUGCGCAGGCGGUUUUUUAAGACAGGCGUGAAAUCCCCGGGCUUAACCUGGGAACUGCGUUUGUGACUGGAAGGCUAGAGUAUGGCAGAGGGGGGUGGAAUUCCACGGUGUAGCAGUGAAAUGCGUAGAGAUGUGGAGGAACACCGAUGGCGAAGGCAGCCCCCUGGGCCAAUACUGACGCCUCAUGCACGAAAGCGUGGGGAGCAAACAG